GUAGGGUGCGAGCGUUAUCCGGAAUCAUUGGGCGUAAAGAGCUCGUAGGCGGUUCAGCAAGUCGGCUGUGAAAUUCCGAGGCUCAACCUCGGAACUGCAGUCGAUACUGCUGUGACUCGAGUCCGGUAGAGGAGAAUGGAAUUCAGGGUGUAGCGGUGAAAUGCGCAGAUAUCCUGAGGAACACCAGUAGCGAAGGCGGUUCUCUGGGCCGGUACUGACGCUGAGGAGCGAAAGCGUGGGUAGCAAACAGGAUUAGAUACCCUGGUAGUCCCACGCCCGUAAACGUUGGACACUAGGUGUGGCGUUCCGACCAACGGGUGCCGUGCCGAAGCUAACGCAUUAAGUGUCCCCGCCUGGGGAGUACGGCCGCAAGGCUA
rnacentral:rRNA from 1 species